CACGUAGGCGGCUUGGUAAGUCAGAUGUGAAAGCCCGGGGCUUAACCCCGGAAGUGCAUUUGAUACUGUCAGGCUUGAGUAUGGGAGAGGGAAGUGGAAUUCCUGGUGUAGAGGUGAAAUUCGUAGAUAUCAGGAGGAACACCGGUGGCGAAGGCGACUUUCUGGACCAAUACUGACGCCGAGGUGCGAAGGCGUGGGUAGCAAACA
rnacentral:rRNA from 1 species